AGUGAACGCUGGCGGUAGGCCUAACACAUGCAAGUCGAACGGCAGCACAGUAAGAGCUUGCUCUUACGGGUGGCGAGUGGCGGACGGGUGCGGAAUACAUCGGAAUCUACUUUUUAGUGGGGGAUAACGUAGGGAAACUUACGCUAAUACCGCAUACGACCUACGGGUGAAAGCAGGGGAUCUUCGGACCUUGCGCGAUUGAAUGAGCCGAUGUCGGAUUAGCUAGUUGGCGGGGUAAAGGCCCACCAAGGCGACGAUCCGUAGCUGGUCUGAGAGGAUGAUCAGCCACACUGGAACUGAGACACGGUCCAGACUCCUACGGGAGGCAGCAGUGGGGAAUAUUGGACAAUGGGCGCAAGCCUGAUCCAGCCAUACCGCGUGGGUGAAGAAGGCCUUCGGGUUGUAAAGCCCUUUUGGUUGGGAAGAAAAGCAGCAGGUUAAUACCCCGCUGUUCUGACGGUACCCAAAGAAUAAGCACCGGCUAACUUCGUG
rnacentral:rRNA from 1 species